rnacentral:rRNA from 1 species
GACGAACGCUGGCGGCGUGCUUAACACAUGCAAGUCGAACGGAAAGGCCCUGCUUUUGUGGGGUGCUCGAGUGGCGAACGGGUGAGUAACACGCGAGUAACCUGCCCUUGACUUUGGGAUAACAUCAGGAAAAUGGGGCUCAUACCCGAUAGGAGCUCCUGCUGCAUGGUGGGGGUUGGAAAGUUUCGGCUGUUGGGGAUGGACUCGCGGCUUAUCAGCUUGUUUGUGGGGUAGUGGCUUACCAAGGCUUUGACGGGUAGCCGGCCUUGGAGGGUGACCGGCCACAUUGGGACUGAGAGACGGCCCAGACUCCUACGUGAGGCAGCAGUGGGGAGUAUUGCACAAUGGGCGGAAGCCUGAUGCAGCAACGCCGCGUGCGGGAUGACGGCCUUCGGGUGAUAAACCGCUGUCGCCUGUGACGAAGCGUGAGUGACGGUAAUGGGUAAAGAAGCACCGGCUAACUACGUG